AAGCUCGUAGUUAGAAUUUCGGGAUUAGUACGUCGGUCGUGCCUUAGGUACGUACUGGUGUUACUGGUUCCUACCUUCUGACGAACCAUCAUGUCAUUAAUUUGGUGUGGUGGGGAAUCAGGACUGUUACUUUGAAAAAAUUAGAGUGUUUAAAGCAGGCUCGCGCUUGAAUACAUUAGCAUGGAAUAAUGAAAUAGGACGUUGAUCCUAUUUUGUUGGUUUCUAGGAUUGACGUAAUGAUUAAUAGGGAUAGUUGGG
rnacentral:rRNA from 1 species